AUUGAACGCUGGCGGAAUGCUUUACACAUGCAAGUCGAACGGCAGCAUAGGUGCUUGCACCUGAUGGCGAGUGGCGAACGGGUGAGUAAUACAUCGGAACGUGCCCAGUCGUGGGGGAUAACGUAGCGAAAGUUACGCUAAUACCGCAUACGAUCUACGGAUGAAAGCGGGGGACCGUAAGGCCUCGCGCGAUUGGAGCGGCCGAUGUUAGAUUAGGUAGUUGGUGGGGUAAAGGCUCACCAAGCCGACGAUCUAUAGCUGGUCUGAGAGGAUGAUCAGCCACACUGGGACUGAGACACGGCCCAGACUCCUACGGGAGGCAGCAGUGGGGAAUUUUGGACAAUGGGCGCAAGCCUGAUCCAGCCAUUCCGCGUGCAGGACGAAGGCCUUCGGGUUGUAAACUGCUUUUGUACAGAACGAAAAGCCUUGGGUUAAUACCCUGGGGUCAUGACGGUACUGUAAGAAUAAGCACCGGCUAACUACGUG
rnacentral:rRNA from 1 species